UUUGACGCGGAUAGUACCAACAGCGAGACAAUGCGAUGCAAUCGUGACCUUGCGCCACGACCUAGGAGCAGUACAAGAUAAAGAACCACCGUCGUCGAUGGGAUCGCCACCACAUGUCACCGCUCUAGCAGACUCGGGAGCCGUUUACUUCGUCUACAGUCCCUUCUUUCGCAGCCGAGUUACAGUUCAUAACCAGAUUGUCACUGCGACGUUUAUUAUGCUGUAACACUCCAAACACAAGGUCAUCACUGACAUGGUUUUUGUGCGGCAACACUACGCAUUGAUCUACCUAAAUUCCAAGUCGGUGUCGCCGCAGAAACCACUCAGUUGCCGUGUCAUGUAUGUGCGUGAAGUUCAAGUCAGCAUCUAGUCUCGGUCCAGCGUCAUUGUUUGUGUCGGUGCUGAAACAACCGCAGAAGUAGAAGGCGUCUUCGAGGGUUCACAACGUCUACUGACCGAUGAAGUGUGCCUACGCUUCCCCUGUUGGACACUCUGGAAGUGUAAACCAGCUACCUGUUUUCGAGACACACCAAUGGUGUAGGUUAUCAGCUGGUAUAGCGACACCUGAGUUCCAACCACGGUCACCAAUUUUACAAGUAGAUGUGAUUGCUGGGAUCGACCUCAGGAUCGGAUGAGCAAGCGGAUUUCCAGUCAACUGCAGGAGAUUGCAGCACCAGCGAGAACCACCACGCCGACGAAGUCGCCUGAUCUGCACAUGACGAAGAGCAGUGGAACUUGCAGCAACGUAUGCUCUACAACAGGAAUUGCGUACCAAGAAUGCCGAGCAACGUUGACAGAGAUGCUUAUCAUAAUUCAAAAGCUCAGAAAUUCGCAUGAAAUGAAGUUCUGAAGGGCUACUAAGAAUCGGGGAAAGAGAAUGGCUGUUAGAUGAUCAAGAAAAGAAAAAAAAGCGUUUCUAAAGAGGAGGUGAGUGGUUCUUUUAGUGAACAUGAAGGACAGUAAACUUUCUCCGAAGUUUGAAAUCAAGACCUUUAUCGUGCAGAAAGUUAUAGAUAAUCUUUCGAAUGCCUCGCCCACAAUGACCCGCUUACGACUUCUACAGAACCUUUCCGGACAGGAGAUCACAGUUGAAAGUCAGCAAAUGCUUUAAUAGUCAUUCCUUCAACCAUAUGUACCUACUACAUAUGUACAUAUGUGCCUACUUCAACCAUAUGUACCAUAUGUACCUG